GAUGAACGCUGGCGGCGUGCCUAAUACAUGCAAGUCGAACGAAACUUCUUUAUCACCGAGUGCUUGCACUCACCGAUAAAGAGUUGAGUGGCGAACGGGUGAGUAACACGUGGGCAACCUGCCCAAAAGAGGGGGAUAACACUUGGAAACAGGUGCUAAUACCGCAUAACCAUAGUUACCGCAUGGUAACUAUGUAAAAGGUGGCUAUACUACCGCUUUUGGAUGGGCCCGCGGCGCAUUAGCUAGUUGGUAGGGUAAAGGCUUACCAAGGCAAUGAUGCGUAGCCGAAUUGAGAGGUUGAUCGGCCACAUUGGGACUGAGACGCGGCCCAAACUCCUACGGGAGGCAGCAGUAGGGAAUCUUCCACAAUGGGCGAAAGCCUGAUGGAGCAACGCCGCGUGGGUGAAGAAGGUCUUCGGAUCGUAAAACCCUGUUGUUAGAGAAGAAAGUGCGUGAGAGUAACUGUUCACGUUUCGACGGUAUCUAACCAGAAAGCCACGGCUAACUACGUG
rnacentral:rRNA from 1 species